AGUUGGGCCUACGUAUUGGACUCAAAGGCCUAUAAAUAGUUUUCCUAUAAACUGGUUUAUAUGUGUGAGACAUUAUUGAUAAUACAGAAAUGUUAU